AUUGAACGCUGGCGGCAGGCCUAACACAUGCAAGUCGAGCGGAGCGGCGGACGGGCGAGUAAUGCAUACGUAUCUGCCCGGUAGUGGGGGAUAACGUCCGGUAACGGGCGCUAAUAUCGCAUCCUAUUUGCUGAGCCUUGGUCGGAUUAGCUAGCUGGUGGGGUAAAGGCCUACCAAGGCGACGAUCCGUAACUGGUCUGAGAGGAUGAUCAGCCACACUGGAACUGAGACACGGUCCAGACUCCUACGGGAGGCAGCAGUGGGGAAUAUUGGACAAUGGGCGAAAGCCUGAUGCAGCCAUGCCGCGUGUGUGAAGAAGGUCUUCGGGUUGUAAAGCACUUUAAGUUGGGAGGCGUUACCAGCAGAAUAAGCACCGGCUAACUUCGUGCCAGCAGCCGCGGUAAUAC
rnacentral:rRNA from 1 species